rnacentral:tRNA from 1 species
CGGGGUGUAGUGUAUCGGCAACAUGCACGGUUCGGGACCGUGAGACAGAGGGUCCAAUUCCCUCCACCCCGA